AUACAGCAACCAAUGCAGUAUUCCAGUUACAAUGCACCUUUGCAUACUGGAGCUCCGAACUUGCCAGGUCCAAACUUGCCAACUUCCAACCUACCAGUUCCAAACUUGCCGACUUCCAACCUACCAGCUUCAAACUUGCCGACUACCAACCUACCAGCUUCAAACUUGCCGACUACCAACCUACUAGCUUCAAACUUGCCAGUUCCCUUACCCGAUAUUUCAUCUCCUUUGCUUUCUGCUAGUACUGGUUCCCUUAAUUUAGCAUCCACUUCUUCAGCACCAUCAACUUUGCCUGCAACUUUA
rnacentral:lncRNA from 1 species